AGCGUAUAUUAAAGUUGUUGCAGUUAAAAAGCUCGUAGUUGAAUUUCGGGGUUAGUAGGUAGGUCAUGCCUCUGGUAUGUACUGGUCUCACUGAUUCCUCCUUCCUGAUGAACCUUAAUGCCAUUUAUUUGGUGUUUUGGGGAAUUUGGACUGUUACUUUGAAAAAAUUAGAGUGUUUAAAGCAAGCUAACGCUUGAAUACAUUAGCAUGGAAUAAUGAAAUAGGACGUUCGAUCCUAUUUUGUUGGUUUCUAGGAUUGACGUAAUGAUUAAUAGGGAUAGUUGGGGGCAUUAGUAUUCAAUUGUCAGAGGUGAAAUUCUUGGAUUUAUUGAAGACUAACUACUGCGAAAGCAUUUGCCAAGGAUGUUUUCAUUAAUCAAGAACGAAAGUUAGGGGAUCGAAGACGAUCAGAUACCGUCGUAGUCUUAACCAUAAACUAUGCCGACUAGGGAUCGGAUGAUGUUAAUUUUUUAAUGACUC
rnacentral:rRNA from 1 species